AACGAACGCUGGCGGCGUGUUUAAGACGUGCAAGUCGCACGGUGUCAUUUUGGUAGCAAUACUUGAAUGGCAUAGUGGCGCACGGGUGAGUAACACGUGAAUUACAUGCCCUGUAGAGGGGGAUAGCCCAGGGAAACUUGGAUUAAUACCCCAUGGUCUCGCAAGAGUAAAGGUGGCCGCAAGGCUGUCGCUACAGGAUUGGUUGGCGCCCUAUCAGCUUGUUGGCGGGGUAACGGCCCACCAAGGCUACGACGGGUACCUGGUCUGAGAGGACGAUCAGGCACACUGGAACUGAGACACGGUCCAGACACCUACGGGUGGCAGCAGUCGAGAAUAAUUCACAAUGGGGGCAACCCUGAUGGUGCAACGCCGCGUGGAGGAUGACGGUCUUCGGAUUGUAAACUCCUGUCAUCCGGGAGUAAGACCUGGGCAUGAAUAGUGCACAGGGUUGAUAGUACCGGAAGAGGAAGGGACGGCUAACUUCGUGCCAGCCGCCGCUGUAAUAC
rnacentral:rRNA from 1 species